rnacentral:rRNA from 1 species
AAAGGAAUAGACGGGAGCCCGCACAAGCAGUGGAGUAUGUGGUUUAAUUCGACGCAACGCGAAGAACCUUACCAGGGCUUGACAUACCGAGAAUCCCGUUGUAAUGACGGGAGUGCCCUUCGGGGAACUCGGAUACAGGUGGUGCAUGGUUGUCGUCAGCUCGUGUCGUGAGAUGUUGGGUUAAGUCCCGCAACGAGCGCAACCCUUACGGUCGGUUGCUACACGAAAGUGAGAACUCCGGCCGGACUGCCGUUGACAAAACGGAGGAAGGUGGGGAUGAUGUCAAAUCAUCAUGCCCCUUACGCCCUGGGCAACACACGUACUACAAUGGCGAAAACAAAGGGGAGCGAAGCCGCGAGGCGGAGCAAAUCCCAAAAAAGUCGUCCCAGUUCGGAUUGCAGGCUGAAACUCGCCUGCAUGAAGCCGGAAUUGCUAGUAAUCGCGGAUCAGCAUGCCGCGGUGAAUACGUUCCCGGGCUUUGUACACACCGCCCGU